AGUGAACGCUGGCGAUAGGCCUAACACAUGCAAGUCGAACGGCAGCACAGUAAGAGCUUGCUCUUACGGGUGGCGAGUGGCGGACGGGUGAGGAAUACAUCGGAAUCUACUUUUUCGUGGGGGAUAACGUAGGGAAACUUACGCUAAUACCGCAUACGACCUACGGGUGAAAGCAGGGGAUCUUCGGACCUUGCGCGAUUGAAUAAGCCGAUGUCGGAUUAGCUAGUUGGCGGGGUAAAGGCCCACCAAGGCGACGAUCCGUAGCUGGUCUGAGAGGAUGAUCAGCCACACUGGAACUGAGACACGGUCCAGACUCCUACGGGAGGCAGCAGUGGGGAAUAUUGGACAAUGGGCGCAAGCCUGAUCCAGCCAUACCGCGUGGGUGAAGAAGGCCUUCGGGUUGUAAAGCCCUUUUGUUGGGAAAGAAAAGCAGCAGGUUAAUACCCCGCUGUUCUGACGGUACCCAAAGAAUAAGCACCGGCUAACUUCGUG
rnacentral:rRNA from 1 species